rnacentral:rRNA from 1 species
CAGUAGCCGCGGUAAAACGUAGGGUGCAAGCGUUAAUCGGAAUUACUGGGCGUAAAGCGUGCGCAGGCGGUUCGUUAAGACAGAUGCGAAAUCCCCGGGCUUAACCUGGGAACUGCAUUUGUGACUGGCGGGCUAGAGUAUGGCAGAGGGGGGUAGAAUUCCACGUGUAGCAGUGAAGUGCGUAGAGAUGUGGAGGAAUACCGAUGGCGAAGGCAGCCCCCUGGGCCAAUACUGACGCUCAUGCACGAAAGCGUGGGGAGCAAACAGGAUUAGAACCCGGGUAGUCCCUGUCUCUUAUACA